UUAUUUAAUGACAUGUUUCAGUUUUACAUUGACUUUGUGUUUUGUAACUGUUACUGAAAGUUACAUUAAGCAUAUAAGCUUUUUCUUGUCUUUUAGCAGUAUAGUCUCUUUUCAUACUGAAACGUUAGAUACUCACCUGGACAGCCAUACUCCAGGUGUGCUCAUACUCUCCUCAUCUUAAUUGGAAGUAAAAGAGAUGAUUAGAACUGAAUUCCCUACAACUGAAGAUGGGUCUGGAUUGCUUGGUAGAAGGAUGUAGAAUGGUUCUUAUAUGGUCAGAAUGAUCUCCUCCACCUUUUUAGAGAAAACCUGUGGCUAGUUCACCUAUACUUGAAAGUAGAAAGCUAGUAUUUCCUGGCUGCUCCAUUUGCUAUUUAGAAAUGUAGCUUAAAAUAGUCAUCUAUGAAGUUAGACUGAUCCAUGGCAGCCUAACAGUGUUGGACCAGCCUCUGUUGGCCAUGAACUAUGCAACUAUUUUAAGCUGUGACCCUAAGAACUGACAGGGCAUACUGUACCCUCAUAGCACUGAAUGCCAGUUCUGUAUUUCCAGGGCUGGACAGAUCAGAUACAAACUUCUGUGCAGUUAAUGCUAUCAUUUUAAUGUUUUGAGAAUUCUCAUACCCACCUGCACAAGCUAAUAGCUUGCCUUAAUAUAUCAAAUUACUUUUUUAAAAAUAGCAUUGUAGGUGAAUAAAAGGUAAAACAAAAA